rnacentral:lncRNA from 1 species
UUUCCAGUUGAUCAUCUCGACCAAUUGAUAAUCUUGACCUCAAGAUAUAUAGAUGUACAAAAGAAAAAAACCAAGAUUUAAAUCUUGAAAAUAGUGCAUCUUGUAAUAUAUUACACGAAACAUUGAUUUUCAAGAUCUUCAAGUGUUCAUAGAUAAGCUAGAUCUACACUAUUUUUAAAGCUUAAAAUUUUCAUUAGAAAUGAAAAUAGACCAUCACAUGCAUUUUUAACACUAAAAUAGCAUCUUUCGACAUCAUUUGGAGGUGCACCUUACCUUUGAUUGAUCAAGGUACCAACCUUUACAAACCUCACCCUUUCC